AACUAACGCUGGCGGCGUGCCUAACACAUGCAAGUCGUACGAGAAAAGUUGGCUUCGGCCGAUGAGUAAAGUGGCGCACGGGUGAGUAACGCGUGGAUAAUCUACCCCUCAGUUGGGAAUAACUCAUCGAAAGGUGGGCUAAUACCGAAUAAUACUGCAUGACUUCUGUUGUAUAGUCAAAGAUGGCCUCUGCUUGCAAGCUAUCGCUGAAGGAUGAGUCCGCGUACCAUUAGCUAGUUGGUAGGGUAAUGGCCUACCAAGGCAACGAUGGUUAGCUGGUCUGAGAGGAUGAUCAGCCACACUGGAACUGAGACACGGUCCAGACCUCCUACGGGAGGCAGCAGUGAGGAAUAUUGCGCAAUGGGGGCAACCCUGACGCAGCAACGCCGCGUGAGUGAGGGAAGGUUUUCGGACCGUAAAGCUCUGUCGAGACGGGAAGAAAUGCAUAGUGGCUAAUAUCCAUUAUGCUUGACGGUACCGACG
rnacentral:rRNA from 1 species